rnacentral:rRNA from 1 species
UGGGGAAUUUUGGACAAUUGGGCGAAAGCCUGAUCCAGCAAUGCCGCGUGUGUGAAGAAGGCCUUCGGGUUGUAAAGCACUUUUGUCCGGAAAGAAAUCCUUGGCUCUAAUACAGUCGGGGGAUGACGGUACCGGAAGAAUAAGCACCGGCUAACUACGUGCCAGCAGCCGCGGUAAUACGUAGGGUGCAAGCGUUAAUCGGAAUUACUGGGCGUAAAGCGUGCGCAGGCGGUUUGCUAAGACCGAUGUGAAAUCCCCGGGCUCAACCUGGGAACUGCAUUGGUGACUGGCAGGCUAGAGUAUGGCAGAGGGGGGUAGAACUCCACGUGUAGCAGUGAAAUGCGUAGAGAUGUGGAGGAAUACCGAUGGCGAAGGCAGCCCCCUGGGCCAAUACUGACGCUCAUGCACGAAAGCGUGGGGAGCAAACAGGAUUAGAUACCCUGGUAGUCCACGCCCUAAACGAUGUCAACUAGUUGUUGGGGAUUCAUUUCCUUAGUAACGUAGCUAACGCGUGAAGUUGACCGCCUGGGGAGUACGGUCGCAAGAUUAAAACUCAAAUGAAUUGACGGGGU